AUCACUUCUCAGCCUUUUGGCUAAGAUCAAGUGUAGUAUCUGCUCAUAUCAGUUUAAUAUCUGAUACGUCCUCUAUCUGAGGACAAUACAUGAAAUGGAUUUUUGGAGCUGGAAGAUGGAAUAGGAGCUUGCUCCGUCCACUCCACGCAUUGACCUGGUAUUGCAGUACUUCCAGGAACAGUGCACCCCUC
ensembl:snRNA U2 U2 spliceosomal RNA